UAUCCCAGAGCAGCCGCAUGUAAAUAGAUUUAUUUUCUGUGAUACUGAGAUUAACAUCUGUGCAACUUGUAACGAACCCGAGUGUUAGGUCAUUGGUUUUGACAUAUUAAAUUUUUUGUGAUGUAUGAUUUAAAAUAUGCUAUUAGGCUUGAACUUUUGCCCAAUGCCAGUAACUAGGUAAAAUUUGCCUCUACCACAUAUUGAAGUUACAAAUCAAAGCAGCUACUAUUUUCAGAUCCUUGGAAAGAUAAUGGAAAAUAUGACAGUGCACAAACAGUUUCCUUACUUUUGUACUGUUGGAAAUGGAAUGGAAAACUUUUGUGUUAUGGAACUGUGUAACUUAAAAGAUACUACAGUGUUUGAGAUGGUGAAAGCUGAUGGGAGUAAAGCUUGACUUACAAGUUUUGCAUUAAUCCUUCUACACCUUUCAUUGAAUUUUCAUAUUGUUAAGUGCCUCUAGCUGUGUGGUACGACUGCUAUGGACAUUUCUUUGAUGCUGCUUUUACAAACUAAAAAGUAUACAAUUAAACUGAUUAGAAGACUUCAACAUUUGGAUUGUGUGAAAUUGUUCUUUAAAUACUGUUGUUACUACCUCUGCGAUAGUAAGCUUAUAGCAAAGAAGAAACUUUGAGAUGAGGUUAAGUUAUGAGUGAUUCAGAUGAUACAGAUGUGUUACUUCUCAUUCCACCAGACUUUUUCUUAGUUCAUUCUGAUUCAGAGGACUCUCUUGUUCCAGAAGUACAGGAGGGAUACAGGAAAAGCUAUGAAUUUGAGAAACUGGUUGUUAAUGAUCUUAUUUCUCAGGUAAAUGAAUUAGAGAAUCGUAUCUGUGUAAUAGAAAACAAGAGUAGUGUAGACUUGACAAGAAAUGUAUGGGGAACAAGUUACUUGCAUCAGUUUUAUGAUUGUGCAGCAUAUCCAUAUUCGAACACAUACCAGCAUUUGAGAUACAAGGAUCUAACAUUAAAGUCUCAAUCAAUAUUGUCAACUCAGCACAGGCUUAGUGGCAGUACUGAUAAUUUGAGAACACAUGUGGCAGUAAACAGUGGAAUCAAUAGUUCACUGAAAACUCCAGUGAAACAGAAGCAGGCCUUUUCUCUUCCGUCAACACCUAAUAUUGACACAAGUACAUUUCAUUUCUCUUCCCACUCAGAACAAGUUCAGGGUAGCUCAUUACCUGAGAAAAAUGCCAUAACAGUUAAACCUAUGACUCAAAAUGAAAUACUAAGUAUGUCUUAUCCAUUGGUGGGAAAUAUUGCUACAUCGAGUGGAGACACCACCACUGGUGUAAUGCAGCACUCCAAUAACUCUGACAGACAGAAUCAGCUGUAUCAGGAUUGUACUUUAAUUGAAGAGAUAGAUCAAUUUUUGGACAGUGUGAAGAAAAACUCUGAAUUUCAAACUCAGACUGUAAAUGACUGUAACAAAAGAGAAAACUCUUACAACUGCGGAGAGUAUUCAGCUUCUGUUCCAGACCAUGGUUUUGGGCUUAGAGAUUUUAGUAACUUGCCUGUAAGGGAAGAAAUAGUAAAGUCAAAGUAUAUUGCUCCAUUGGAGACAGGAGAAAUAACGCCUGUCAAACAGGCAGAGCUUAAUGAGGUAGAUCUUAUACUCAGAGAAGCAGAAAAUGAUUUUAAGGAUGGGAAACAUCCCAAUCUUAACCCAAUACAUAAGCCUUCAUACCAGCAAAAGAAGAUAUACAGAUGUGGUAAUAAUGUCACCUCUGUGCCAGAUCUGGGCUUUGGAGUUAGAUCUUUCAACAGCCUUCCUGUUCAGGAAGAGGAAGUAAAACGGAAAACUGUAUUGCCUUUGGGACCUUACCAGGUGGAUACAGAAAUGAAAGGUUUGGAAUUAUCAGAUCUUGAGAAACUCCUUAAACAAAUUAAAGCUACCCAACAUGAAGUGGAGAAGAAGCUACAGCUUAGGGAAUCUUUGACUGAUGAAAGUAGUACCCUUUCAGAAAAGGACAGUGUUCCAGCUCCAUUGAAGACAUCUCUUUCUGGAGAGAACUUUUGUUCAGUGCCUGACAGAGGGUUUGAAGCAAGAGGUAUCUUGAAUUCAUCUAAGUAUGUUCCAGCACAAAAUGCAGUAACUUCAGAGAAUGGUACAGAAGUUCCUGUGCAUGAAGAAAGUAUUAUGAAGAGAAACGUUAAUCUCCUUGGAGCUGAAGUACCUUCUAAUAAAGCACAGUGGCCUCAAGUACAUGGCAGUAUUGAACAGCAUACAGACAAGCAAAAUUUUUACAUAUCUGAUGUGGAAACAUUUGGAGAAACAAAAGGUGCUCAACAAAUAGCUUCCAAUUAUCCAACUGAACCAGGAGACUCGACAAAAAUUGCAGUUGCAAGACGUAAAUUGGUGUUAGGAGGUGAUGCUUCUAGCAUCCCUGAUUGCGGUUUUGGUCUUAAAAGUUGGUAUAACUCAGACGAAAAUAAAGAUGGAUAUUCUGAAUCUGUUUUAAAUUCUCAUAAAAUUUCAAAUUAUGUUCAUGAUGGUGUAAUUCCUUUACAUCCAAGUGAUGGGGAAUCUACUGUGUCUUCCACUGUUAAAAAUAGUUAUAUUCAAGGAGAUUAUUUGCCAUCAGUACCAGAUUUAGGAUUUGGUCUUCAAAAGCUAUGGAUCAAUAGUGCAUCAUCACAGGGAUUAGAAAGAAAUAUGACCAUUCCCAAAUCUUUUCAUGCACCCACACAAACCCAUAUCGAUCAUAUUCAAACAAAUAAUGAUUUACAUGCUGCUGAAUACUCGUCAUCACAAAUACGACCACGUGUGACUGUUGAUGGGGCUGGAUGUCAGUGGGUAGGGUCUCAGAAAACCAUCAUCAGUACACAAGGUCAGAGUAAUUCAGUGACUGGGAUAGGCAGGGGAUCAAGUGUAACAGACACAGUGGCAAAGAAGAAAGUGGACUUCAGUGUUGGAAGUGGCCAAGGGGAUGUUACCAUUAUGCAGCAGGAACAAGGAGCUGAAAGUAAUAUUGCAGAAGGUUUAAGAAACAAACCAGAUCAUGGAAAUGUCUUUCUUGAGAGUGGUGUCAGUGGUAUGACAGCCUCUGUGAGUUCUGGAACAUCUAAUCUCGUCAGUUUGUCAGAACUGUGGAGUAAGGAUGGUUCAUCAUCUGCCUCUCGGGUUAGGAAUGAACACGCUAACAUCUGGGUGAGAUAUGAAGAGGAGAAAUACAGAAGACAUCACUGUGAAAGACUGAUCCAGCAAUUGCAAAUUUCUGUUCUGGAAGAAGAACAGAAGCUUGCUGUAGCAGUACAAGUGGACAGAGGCAAGGAUAAAGCAAUUUUGCAGUUACAAGAUGCCUGGAUUCGUCUUGUUCAGCACUGGAAAGAGCUGGAAGAGCAGCGACAUAGUUUAACUAGUAGACUACACAGUGAAAGAAAAGAACAUCAAAGACAAGAAUCUGAAAUGAUGCAGAAGCUGAAACAACUUGAGUCUGAACUCUCCAAAGCUUUAGACCUUGCCCAGGGCUACAAAGUGAAAUUUGACAAUAUUGAGAAAGAUAAACUAGAAUUGAUAGAUCGUCAUAGUGGUGAGAUCAAAGAAGUGAUGGGUAAGAUAGUAGAAAAAGAACAGAAACUUGACAAGGCAAAUCAGUUAAACUGCCAGUUGAUACAACAGAAGGAAGAUUCCCUGGAAAAGUUGAAACAAGUUGAACAAGAAGCACAAAAGGAAAGAAAGCUGCUGAUAGAUGUUCAGAGGGAGGUGGAAUGCGCUUAUAAGAAGCUUAAUUCGUUUGAAGCUGAAGUGUCUGCUUUAAAAGAAGAAAGAGAAACACUUAAAUUGAAAUUGAAAGAAGAGAAAGGAAGAAUCAACAUCCUUGAUCAACAGAAAAAGUCAGUACAGGCAACUCUGGAUGAAAAUAAAAAGAAAGAGAAAACUAUUCGAGAAGAGAUGAAACAGUUGACUGUUCAGUCAGAUAAAAUGAAGACUGAAUUAAGAGAAUACUACCAGGAGCAAUUGGAAGUGGUAGUACAUGACAAGCUACGAGAAUUUCAGGAACAAUUGGAUGCUGCAGAGACUUCAUUACAUAAGGAACUGGAACAACGGGAGCAUGCAAUCACUGAAAUGGCUUCCAAACAAAUAAGACAGAUAUCAGAAAAACACCGAUUGGAAAUGCAGCUGCUAGAAGAGAAACAUGUGGAAGAGCUUCAGUUAUACAAACUGCAGCUAGCUCAGGCAAUGCAGCAGGUUUCUGACCUAGAAGCUAAAUUACAGGGAUAUAAUUCUAGGAAAAGCGAAAUGGUUGAUAAGUUACACUGUGUCAUGGAAACACAGUGGCAAGAAGCAUUGCGUAUCAUCAUUGGGAAUAGUCCUUUAGCUAACCAUGUAGCAGACAGUCUUAUAGUACAGAGGAAGGAUAUGUCUAAGACUGACGCUGGCACCUGGCCCUUGGAAACUCACAAUCAGCAGACUACUUUAGACAGAAAUGAUCCAUUAACCUUGAAAUCUCACUAUGGUAAUGAACACCAUGUUGGGAAAAACAAUACUGUUUCAGGAGCAAGUGGUGAAGCUUCAAAAAGCAAUAAGAUGGGAACCGAUACUGCACCUGUAUUUAGAGAUUUUGUAGGUGCAUCAGAGUCUCAUAUAACCCCUCUUAACCUUCAUCAGCAGAGUAGUGGCUCAUCAACAGCUUAUGAGAUGCCAUUCAAUCAAAAUGGGCUGCUUACUUACAGAAAGGCAGAACAACCUGUAUCAUUACAUGAAACUCCUCUAGGCAAAGGACAUCAGGAGGAUGAACUCAGAAAAUACAUAAUAAAAUUACUGGACAGGUCUCCAGGUAAUCCAACAGAUGAUGGAAAACAGGCUACUAUUCAUAGACCAGAUGAGAUACCAAGGCAAGAUGGAUGUAGUCAGGAUGAUAAAAGACAUGAACUUGUAGAUGUACCCACAAAUGAGGUAGCUCAACACUCAACAUGGGAGAAAAUUUUACAUGAUACCAGGCUCAGUCUUGCAGGGGGCCAAUAUCAGAGCACUCCAUCCAUUCCAGCACAUGAUCUGUCUAAGGCAAGGCAUGGCUCAGCCAGAGAUCGUCGGUGUAUGAAACCUGCAUGGAAAUAGCAGCAGUGUGUGAAGACAUGCCACAGGAAUGACUUGAGAAGGUGCAGAUUGCUGUGAUUGUGGUGUGUCACAACUAACACUUCCUCUUCCAUCUUCUUGUGGAACAUCAUCUUGCUGUUGUGAUGGAAUUAACCCUUGAUGUUGUCCUUCCUGGUUUUGUAAAACUACCCGAGAUGCUCCAAUUCCACUGCUACCACGAGGAUCAGUUUUGUGUCUUCGUCGUGUGUGUUUCAGCCAGUUUGGAUAGUUGGUAAAACUGGCCCAAGUUCUGUUUACCAGUGGGAGAAAGUGGAAGAUUGGAGGUUAUUUACCUACCCAGUACAGCUGUGGUAAUAAGAAAUUUAUGCUACUGCAGAUGAAGAGGCAUAACAUAUGUCAGCAUUUCCAUUAAUCAGCUUCUUCAAUAUAACUUUUACCACCAGUGUUAAUGCAAUUUCAAUCCCAGACAAGACUGCCUUUCCAUGAUUUUCUUCAGUUUUUCCUGGUUUAUAGUAAGUUUCUUCACUUCUCAAUUAAAUUCAUUCUCAUUUUUUACAAUGUUAAAAGUAACCCAGUAGCUUUCAUAUAUAUUUAUUUCAAUGCAGUAGUUAGAAAUGCUUCAUGUUUCUUUUGUGCAAGAAGAAAGAUUUUUUGUAGGAUUUGAGGUUUUCAUUGUGAUGAGUCUGAAGAUUGGCUGUCUUCUGUGUUGUUGUGCUGUGCAGUCUGGUAGAAGUGCCUCCAUCAUCAGGCAGCAAUGACCUCUGAAACGUCAGUAAACUUCUACCAGACUACACGGCACAACAACCCAGAAGACUGCAAUCUUCAGAAAGAUUUCUUGUUAUUACUAUUAAACAACAGAUUGUUUUUUCUGCUCCUAAAAUUAAUAACAGCCUGAACAACUACCUAAGAAUAAUUUGCUGUAUGUGUGCAUGCAUGCACAUAAGUACAAAUAACAUAAAUGAAGUCUGAACUUGAAGUUAAGUACAUUUAAUUUAUCAUAGAAAUACAUAAAAUUCCAAAUUUGUUUUGUUCUGAAA